UACGUAGGGUGCGAGCGUUAAUCGGAAUUACUGGGCGAAAGCGUGCGCAGGCGGUUUUGUAAGCCAGAUGUGAAAUCCCCGGGCUUAACCUGGGAAUGGCAUUUGGGACUGCAAGGCUUGAGUGCGGCAGAGGAGACUGGAAUUCCCGGUGUAGCAGUGAAAUGCGUAGAUAUCGGGAGGAAUACCGAUGGCGAAGGCAGGUCUCUGGGCUGACACUGACGCUCAUGCACGAAAGCGUGGGGAGCAAACAGG
rnacentral:rRNA from 1 species